rnacentral:rRNA from 1 species
UACAGAGGGGGCAAGCGUUAUUCGGAAUUAUUGGGCGUAAAGGGCGCGUAGGCGGCCUGGCAAGUGGAAGGUGAAAUCCCUCGGCUUAACCGAGGAACUGCCCUCCAAACUGCUUGGCUUGAGUCCGGGAGAGGUGAGUGGAAUUCCCAGUGUAGCGGUGAAAUGCGUAGAUAUUGGGAAGGAACACCAGUGGCGAAGGGCGGCUCACUGGACCGGAACUGACGCUGAGGCGCGAAAGCGUGGGGA